rnacentral:rRNA from 1 species
CCCUUAGAUGUUCUGGGCUGCACGCGCGCUACACUGAUGCGCUCAACGAGUUUAUGACCUUGCCCGGAAGGGUUGGGUAAUCUUCUUAAAACGCAUCGUGAUGGGGAUAGAUUAUUGCAAUUAUUAAUCUUCAACGAGGAAUUCCUAGUAAGCGCGAGUCAUCAGCUCGUGCUGAUUACGUCCCUGCCCUUUGUACACACCGCCCGUCGCUCCUACCGAUUGGAUGGUCCGGUGAAGCCUCGGGAUUGUGGUUCUUGCCGCUUUAUUGUGGCGUGACCGCGAGAACUUGUCUAAACCUUAUCAUCUAGAGGAAGGUGAAGUCGUAACA